GAACAUAAGCAUAAGGGAUGGGAAAAUUACACUAAUAAGCUUAACUUACUUCACGUUGAGCAUUGGAGUCUAUCAUAUACAAAAUGCUAAAUGAAUUUUAGUUGUUUAAACAUGUGAGAUGAAAACCUAAUGCGGAAAAUUAAACCAUGUAAAGAAAAGAAGGAAAAGAAAAAUAGAGCAUAAUUAGAAAGGGAUUAAGGAUGAGGGGGCGCUUAAGGGAAAUUAAUUACAACACUGGCUUUAAAAAGUCUUAAAAUAAAGAGCACAAAUAAUAGUUCUAAUUAAUUCUAAGAGGAGUUUUAAAUGAAUCACUUAAGAUUCCUAAAUCAUUGUUAUUAAAACCUGCAACUAUGAAGAAAUAAAGUUAGCAAAAAAACUGAACACAAAUGAACUUGUUAUUAAAAUAGUAAAGAAAUAUUAAAGAAGAGGUACUUUGAUACCUCGUCUAAUCCUAGUAGAAGAUACUUUAGUACCUUGACUAGACUCAUUAUUUUAAUACCUUAAGUUUUUCUUAACAUGUGAAACUGACCUUAUUUCAUAAAUCUAAAAAUAAUUUUAUUUAACAUUUGAGCUGAACAUAAGUAUAAAGGAUGGGAAGAUUACACUAAUAAGCUUAACUUAUUUCAAGUUGAGCAUUGGAGCCUAUCAUAUACAAAAUGCUAAAUGAAUUUUAGUUGUUUAAACAUGUGAGGUGAAAACCUAAUACAGGAAAUUAAACUAUGUAAAGAAAAGGAGGAAAAGAAAAAUAAAGCAUAACUAGAAAGGGAUUAAGGAUGUGGGGCCGUUUAAGGGGAAUUAAUUAUAACACUGGCUUUAAAAAGUCUUAAAAUAAAUAGCACAAAUAAUAGUUCUAAUUAAUUCUAAGAGGAGUUUUAAAUAACAAUUUAAAUAUUACAAUAAAAAUCAGGGCAAAUAAU
rnacentral:lncRNA from 1 species